rnacentral:rRNA from 1 species
AGUGAACGCUGGCGGUAGGCCUAACACAUGCAAGUCGAACGGCAGCACAGUAAGAGCUUGCUCUUACGGGUGGCGAGUGGCGGACGGGUGAGGAAUACAUCGGAAUCUACUUUUUCGUGGGGGAUAACGUAGGGAAACUUACGCUAAUACCGCAUCCGACCUACGGGUGAAAGCAGGGGAUCUUCGGACCUUGCGCGAUUGAAUGAGCCGAUGUCGGAUUAGCUAGUUGGCGGGGUAAAGGCCCACCAAGGCGCCGAUCCGUAGCUGGUCAGAGAGGAUGGUCGGCCACACGGGAACUGAGACACGGUCCAUACGACUACGGGAGGCAGCAGUGGGGAAUAUUGGACAAUGGUCGCAAGCCUGAUCCAGCCAUACCGCGUGUGUUAAGAAGGCCUUCGGGUUGUAAAGCCCUUUUGUUGGGAAAGAAAAGCAGCAGGUUAAUACCCCGCUGUUCUGACGGUACCCAAAGAAUAAGCACCGGCUAACUUCGUG